rnacentral:lncRNA from 1 species
UCGAACCUUCAGCUGCUGGAGCCCCUGGCCACCGGGGCCCCGUAUUGACCUCAGAAUUGGCCGCGUCUGGGGCGGCUCGAGGUUCCUGGGCUCUGAGCAAGCGUCAGCCUGUGAGGUGGAAGGGCCCAGGGCACAGCCGGUCCCAUCUGCUCAACAGCGCCUGCGAAGAGCCCCAUGGCCAGCAGCACACUCAGCUCGGCUCUGGCCUGCAGGGGGAUGUGGGACAGGGAGGGGAUGCAGUGAAGGCAGCGGUGGAGCCCAGGACGGAGUUUCUGUCCCUGGGAGUCUGGGCACACAGUGGGUCGCAGGGGAGGAGGAGGCCCUGCUGUCCUGGCAUUGCUGUUGCUUCCACAACCUGAAGAUGGCACCCAACCCUGACCUCAGCCCUCCCUACCUGCAGCAGCUCGGUCUGGCCUCCCAGCCCCAGACCAUGUCUGAAGUCAUUGAGUCCACACGGUUCCACCGCCUCCUUGGAAACCCUUUUCAGAGACUCAGAGUUGAGAAGCUGAAGCUGGGACUCGAGCUCUGGGGACCAGCAGACCUGAGAUCAAGGACCAGCUCUUCUCCUUACUAGCUGAGGGGACUGAGCCCCAAUUCUCCCACCUUUAUAAUGGCGGAACCAGAAUAAAGAUAAAACCUCCUCCUGGGGUUGCAGUGAGGAUCUAAUGAGACACGAGGAGACGCCCCAGCACAGGGCGUGGCACUCACCCUGUGUUCAAUCAUAGCUGGCCCUGUUAUGACCGUUUUCAUCCCCUUUACCAUGGAUGGCCUCUCAUCUGGCCAUUGCAGGUGACAGGUGUGUCCAUGUCCCCUAGACAUCCUGGGCGUGCUCAGCUCUCCUGGCUUUCAGCCGUUUGGCAAAACACCCUCCAGCUGAUCUUGUAUUUACCACAAGUCAAUUGUGUUUGCCCCCGAGCCUUUUUCAUGCCAGCUGUUCUUGAUAUUAUGAAGGCACAGGUUAAUUAAAUAUCAUAUAAGCUAGCAAGUUUUCAAACUAGUUGGGUUUGUUUGUUUGUUUUCAGAGGUGGGGUCUUGCUCUGUCCCCCAGGCUGGAGUGCAGUGGCAUGAUCACAGCUCACUGCUGCUUCAAAUUUUGGUGCUUAAGUGAUCCUCCCACCUCGGCCUCCCAAGUAGCUGGGACCACAGGUGUGUGCCACCACAUUCUGCUAAUUUUUAUUUAUUUAUUUAUUUAUUUACUUACUUACUUACUUACCUACUUUGUAGAGACAGGGUCUCACCAUCUUGCCCAGGCUGGUCUCAAACUCCUGGGGUCAAGGGAUCCUCCUGCCUCGGCCUCCUAAAAUGCUGGGAUUAAAGGUGUGAGCCACCAUGCCCAGCCUCAAACUGUUUAAAGAUUCCUUUAUACUCUUAAAAAUCAUUGAAGAUCCCAAACAGCUUUUGUUUCAGUGGCUUGCAUUGAUUGAUAUUGACUAUCUUCAAAAUUAAAGAUGAGAGACUUUCAAAGCACAGAGACACACAAGCACGCAUUCCGUCGGCUGUCAGAGGCCAGGGCUGGGGGCUGGGGGCUCUGAAAAUCUUUAUUUGUACCUUCUGGAGAAAAUGAGAGCAUCAAGGGCAAACAACAUCUCAGUUUGACCGUGAAAAGAAUUUGGACUUUGGAUUCCCUGAAAGGGUCGCAAGUGGUCCCUGGGCCACUCUCGGAGAGCCACUGAGGGAAGCUGAUGAAAUAUUAAUGCAGAAAGGGAGCUGCUCCCUGAAUGCUAGGCUGGAAGCUUUGGAAAGUCCCAGCACAGAUGAGGGUAAUGAUUUGGGGAAAAUAAUCACACAAAUAAUGAAGGACUCUGCCUCGAGAUUGCCUUGCAAGCGCCUUCCAGUUCUCAUGUCCCUUUAGAAACACUGAAACCAGAAAUCAGUGCUGAUUCACUGCUCUGUGGUUUCUGCCACAGAGAUGACCCAGAGCUCCAAUCAGUGGGCUCAUGCUCAGAGAAAAGGUUUUGGCUCCAUACCAAAAGGCAGACAAAUAGAUGUGCUGUACUUCACAUAUUUGAAGUAAAAAUAAAAUGUUUAAGAAAUGUCUAUGUGGUUAAGUAGGACUUCCCCACCCAUCUAACUUGCCCAGCUAACGCUGCAAUUACGGAUGUUGCAAGAACGUUGACUCGACCCAGCCUUCCCCUGCUACGGUAAAUGUCCCUCACCCCUCCACCCUCAGGCUGGACACCAGCUCCAAGUCUAAUCCUUGUCUUUGACCAUUUGGGGCUUGACUUUGCCUUUGACCUUGCCUCCAUUGCCUGCCACAUCCUUCAGUUAGUGACAAGCACAAGAUGGGUCAGAUUUGGUGGGUUCCAACACUGGGUCCAGUACUAAGUGUGUGACCUUGGAGCAGUCACCUAACCUCCCUGAGCCCCAGCUUCCUUUUCUGUAAAAUGGGAAGUUACACAUAAGCAUACAUAUACCCCAGCUCUGUGGGUGCCGUCAGUAGUGAUGUCACCAUCCCAUUGGUACAGUGCCUUUGAGAUGGCCCUUCAGCCGUGCUUCCUACUCCCAGCCCCUGUGAUCACUCACUUGGACCAUAGAAGCCUCAGCCUUAGUCCUUCCAUUUCCAGGCACUUCUACCUGCUCCAAAUUAAUGACCUAAAUCCCUGCGCUAACCAAUAAUUCCUCUGCUCAGAAAAUGUCAGUGUGGGAAGCUCAAUACACCACUAGUUCAACCAAAGGCAUUUACCCUGAGACCCAAACCCUCUUUGACCUUGUGCCCACUUACCUGGGUGGCUUCACCUCCUACUGCUACAACAAUCGUGCCUGAGGACCAUUGCUGAGGUGACCUGCCCCCACCUCCAGGGUCCAGAUGCCAUGUGGAGGGUAUUACAUGCGUGAACCCUUAUCGCCAUAAGGGCCUGAGUCUGAGUGCAUACCCAUUCUGCAGAUAAGAAAACAGAGGCUCAGUAGCAUCAAACCCUCUGCCUAAGGUCACACAGAGGACAAUGGCAGAGCCAGGAUUGUAGUCCAGGUCUCCCUGACUCCAAAGCCCAGAAUGUUCGUAUACUCCUUUCCGGAGGCACUGAGACCUUCCCUGCUCUUUUGGCCUUCCCUGCUCCCUGCCCCUGCUCACCCCAGCCCCUCCUCUCGGCAUGCCUGCCCACCUUUCUAGAUCCUGCCAGUCUUUAGGGCUCAGCUUAACGCCACCUCUUUCCUGAUGCCAUCUGGGUCACAGCCCCCAUGCACCCUGCAGACCUCUCCUCUGCUGGAGGUUCUGACAUUUGCACAAGGCCUGCAUUCUUCUAGGCUCUCCCUGUUCCUUCCUUAGGAAAGUGAGCCUGGCCCUUACGGUGAGGUCCUCUUUCCCUGCUUCACACUCCAGAGCGGCAGGCCCCAACUUUUUGGCACCAGGGACCAGUUACAUGGAAGACAGUUUUUCCACAGUUUGGUGGGGGGGAUGGUUUGGGAUGAUUCAAGCUCAUUACAUGUAUUGUGCACUUCAUUUCUAUUAUUACUAUACUGAAAUACGUAAUGAAAUAAUUCUACAACUCACCAUCAUGUAGAAUCAGUGGGAGCCCUGAAUUUGUUUUCCUGCAACUAGGUGGUCCCAUCUGGGGGUGAUGGGAGACAGCAACAGAUCUUAGAUUCUCGUAAGGAAUGUGCCACCUAGAUCCCUCACAUGCACAGUUCACAAUAGGGUUGGAGCUGCUAUGAGAAUCCAACGUUACCACUAGGAGGUGGAGCUCAGGUGGUAAUGUGAGCGAUGGGGAGCAGCUGUAAAUAGAGAUGAAGCUUUGCUUCUCACCUCCCGCUGUGUAGCCCAGGACUGCUACUGGCCCAUGCCCGAGGGGUGGGGGAUUGCCUGCUCUACAGCAUCAUCACACAUGCCUUUGCCCCAUCUAAGUUUGUUGAGUGAGUAUUAUGUGCAGUCACUGAUUCAGGCUCUGAGGCUGCAGCCAUGAACAGAGUUCCCACCUCAAGGAGCGGAGGUCCCUGAUGGGCAGAGGGCUGCUGAAGCAGCAGCAGACACACAGAUGGUCCAGUCUCAGGUGACAGCUGUGAGCAAAUCAAGCAGGGAGGCUGGCCAUGCAGGAGAGGUAUUAUUUUGUGUAAGUGGUCAGGGAAGGGACCGUAGUGAGGCGAAGGUGCUGGUCUGGCCAGGGCCAGCGAAGGGACCGUAGUGAGGCGAAGGUGCCAGCCUGGCCAGGGUCAGGGAAGGGUGUGCCAGGCAGGGCACCCCAGGGUCACAGGCCAGUACAGGGAAGGGCUUGGUGUGCUGAGCAUGGCGGUGAGGUCAGCAUAGCCAGGGCUGAGGUGAGUGCGGGCAGCUGAGGUCUCAGAGGUCAGCAGGGCAGGGUAGAACCCAGGGAGGGCCUCGAGGGCCAUGAGCAGGUCUUGGCCUUUUAUCCUAGGUGUGUUGGGGGGUUGGGGAGGGUUUCAAGGAAGAGAGUGACAUGGUUUGAAGGACUGCAGGGGAAAAGUGACAGUGGAGGUGCCAGGAGGGCCUUGGCCCCGGCUCUCACCACCAUGCGGGAGUGGUGCGGGGGUGGGGGGUGUUGAAGCAUAGGUUUCACUGUUAUUCGGGUAAAGUGAGACCAACAGCUCAGAAGAUUGUCUUUAGCCGGGCUCAGUGGCUCAUGCCUAUAAUCCCAGCACUUUGAGGAACUGAGGUGGGUGGAUUGCUUGAGCCCAGGAGUUCAAGACCAUCCUAGGCAACAUAGCGAAACCCUGUCUCUACAAAAAAAUACACAAAGUUAGCUGGGCAUGAUAGCAGGUGCCUUUAGUCCCAGCUACUCAGGAGGCUAAGGUGGGAGGAUCACCUGAGCCCUGGAGGUUGAGGCUGCAGUGAGCCGAGAUGGUACCACUGCACUCCAGCCUGGGCAUCGGAGUGAAACCCUGUCUCAAAAAAAAAAAAAAAAAAAAAGAUUGCCUUUGGCACAAUGGUUUGUUACUCACAGUUCCCAAGAGGAAGAGACACACCGGGCUAUGUGGGGCCACUGGGAAGCACCGAGGGGAGGAGGCAGAGAGAGCCCUGGGGAAAUGGUGAGCCAGAGCCUUUGCUGUGGUUUUCACAGGAAGAAAUGGACAAACAGCAACUGGGCUAUGCAGGGCUAGAGCUGAGUUUGAAUAAUUUUAUGGGGCUCAGAGUGUCUGGGCUUCCAAGUUUCUGGCCCCUGGCCCGCGGGGCGACUGGGGAGCUGCAUUGCCCACUGCAAGUGCUCAGGAAGGGAGAUGGUCGGGGUGGGCUGGGAUUGGCCGUUUUGCACACAAAAGGUGUGCUCCAAGUGCCUCUAUAUCUAGGGGUUAGCUAGUCCCGAGAGGGCAGUCCUUCCCAGGCCAGCAAGAUGUCAAAGGAUCAUAAAAUACAGAAAAUAGUCAACCAAACUAAUACAAGAGUGGUCAAGAUGAGGGGGCAGAGCCGGGAGAAUGGUGGAUCCUAUGAGGCAGGAUCCACCAUUGGUCUCCUUACUAUGACCAAGUGAGAUCACCUUACUAUGGUCCCUUCCCUGGCCCUGGCCAGACCAGCACCUUUGCCUCACUAUGGUCCCUUCACUGGCCCUGGCCAGACCAGCACCUUUGCCUCACUAUGGUCCCUUCCCUGACCCUGGCCGGGCCGGUGCCUUUGCCUCACUAUGGUCCCUUCCCUGAUCACUUACACAAAAUAAUAAGACAGGACGGUGAGAGAGUGGCUUGGGAAGGGGCGGGGUGGCUGUUUGGUCAGGGUGGUCAGGUUGACUGGGAAGUGGCUGUCAGCCUGAAGGAGGAAGCUGGGGGCAGAGCCUUCCCGCAGAAGAGAUGGCAGGAGCAGGACGGCCGGCAAGAUGGGUUCCAGGGUGGGUGUGGGCGAGCAGCGCCCGGGUAGAGCUCAGUGACAUGGCCUGCAUGGGCUGGUCACUGCGACUGAAGAUGGAACCCUGCUGGGGAGGCGGCUUAGGUGGAGAGACAGACCCAAGAGCUCUGAGUCAUUAAUGCUGGGGGCGCCACCUGUCACGCAGUGGGUGCACCAGCCUGCGCUCAGGGCUGAGGUCUAGGAGUCAUCGGCAUAGAGAUGGCGUCUGAGGCCACGGACUGGAUAAGAACAGUUAUGGGAGAGGGCUAAGGACUGAGCCGCUGGGCACCCCGACAUUCAUGGCCAGAAAGAAGAGCAGGUGCAGCCAUGGAGGCAGGAUGAGGACCAGCGAGGAGUCCGUUGUUCUGGAGACCAAGUGAGAGUUUCAGGAGGAGCUGCCAACAAAGUCAACAGGGCCAGGAGAUUGGAUUAGGAAUGGCAUCUCCAGACGAGCAUCUGCAGAGGGUCUGACAGGGUGCACUCAACUUGACCCUCAAUGAAGCAGCAUGUUACCCACUCCCAAAAGAACCCCUUGCUUCUCGUAAGCAGAGCUGUAUUACCAAAAAAUUGUACUCAACUAUUGUAUUUUGAAUUCCAUCUCUAAAUAUUUGUGGAACCUCUUUUCUCUGUGUUACAUUAGUACCUAAUAUCCCUGUUUUUCCUCUUGGGCCCACAAAGUCUAAUAUUAUUUACCAUCUGGCCCUUUAUGGAAACACUUCAGUCAUCUUGAGCCAGAGCAUGAAAGUGGAGGAGGCAUUUUGAGAAUGGAUGAGGGGCCAUGGGACACAUAGGACCCAAUGCAAGGUACAGUGGCUUCCUGAGGAUCAGGGCAUGGCAGCCUUGGGGGUGACCUCGUAGGUAGAGGCGCUGGUAGGCCUGAAACAUUCUGGGAGUGGUCUUCGUGUGGCCUGGGGAAAGCUGGGGGUUCAGUUCCAGCCCAGCCUCCUCUUGGGGCUUGGUCUCUGAGGCAGAUGGGGAGGUCAUAGAGUGGAGUAGCUGGGGAGGAAUGAGGGUAUCUCACCAGAAAUAUGUCACUGUCCCCAGUAUCGCCCCUCAUGCCUGUUGCAGUUCUGAAAUGCUUCAGGCAAUGCUGUGAUCAAUGUCUUGUCUGUUUCUGAUCAAAAUCUGUCUGCUGCACUGCAUGCAGGCAGGGACCAGCUCUGCUCUCCCAGGUGCCUCUAAUACCAAGGACAUGGCUGGCGAUCCCUCAAUAUUUGUUGGAAGAACCAGUGAAGGAAUCAAUGAAUGAGCAAAUGAACAAUGUCCCACCCUCACCACAAUGCCUGGCCCAAUGACUCGUGCAUAGUAGAUGUUCAGAAAAUAUUUGCUGAGAAAAUUAAAUUUUGGCUUUUUUACACUUUCUAGCUCAGGUGUAUACGUUUGGUGCCUUUGAGGCCCUGGGCAAGGCCGAGCCCUGGGGUGGAGCAAUGUGCUUCUGAUGUGACUCAGGGCUCAGGGGACUCCUCACCGCAGCUAGCCCAUCACAGCUAGCCCCUGAAGUCUGCCUUCAGGGAGGCGCAGACAACUCACGCCAGCCAGCCCAGGGCAGGGGCAAUAUCCGUGCCAGCAAGUCUCGGCUGAGAGAGCCUUUUGGCAGAAAAAGCCAUGUUUAUUUCCCUUGUUUCCCCCUAGAAAUCCCAGUCAUCACCUAGACCCCUGAUGGGUUGAGCUGCAGAAAACCCUGGCCCAGGUGACCCCAAAAACCACUGGCCUUCCCUGAGGGAACUUGAAAGGGGGGCAUUUGAAAUGGAGGGGAAGGAGAACUAACCCUUGAAAUGUAGACAGGCUACUGAGGAUGGAAGCCUGGGGCUGGUGCUGAGGGUAUAUAAUGCAGCACUAUGGUUAAAAGCACUGACUCGGAAUGUCUGAGCUGCAUUCUGCUCUCUUUCUGGGGAUCUGAGCUGUGUGACCUCAGGCACGCAUGCAGCCUCUCUGAUCCUCAGUCUAUAUUUGUAAACUCUGAGACCCACUCAUGAGCAAGACAGACCUGUGGGUGCAGAAAGGGCCUGUGGUGUACCCAAGGUUAAGAGAUGGCUCUCCCAGGCUCUCUGCUGCGGAACUGGGCUUUGAAUCCAGCUCACCUGGCUCCACUCAGGGCUCACCCUCUUCCCACACUGUCCUUGUCGGUGGCAGAGUUUGGUAGAUGUAAAUCAUAGUCCCUUAUGGUGGGAAAACAGUCGAAGGGGGAUGGCUCAUGACCUGGGGGAGAUGGGCCAGGGUGCAGGGAGAGGCAGCUGGGAUUUCCCCACCCUGAUUCCCUGGCCCCCACCUUUCUCUGCCGUACCAGGAAGAGAAUUCCUCAGGGGGCGUUGGGCCUCCGACCCUGGGCAAGUCACAAGGCUCAGGGAGGCCGAGGUUUCAGCCUCAGCUGAGACUUGCCCGCUUCUAGAUCUGACCAGGACCUGACUUUAAAGGGGCCUUUCAAAGCAUGCAGAGCUGAGGGUACACCCCAGAAAGCCCCCAGGAUCCCCACUGGCCCUCAGGCCUGCCAAGGACCCUGCAUGAACCCGGCCUCCUCAUGCUGCUGGCAGCUCUCCACUGUGGGAGAGGAGGCCUUUCACAGUCUCUGUGUCCCAGACACAGUGCCCAGCACCUAUAGGGCAGUCAGCAGAGGCUGCCCAGGAGGGAGUAGACCAAGUCUCC